rnacentral:misc_RNA from 1 species
UACAGAGACCUCGAACGUUAUCCGGAAUCAUUGGGUUUAAAGGGUCCGUAGGCGGGUUGAUAAGUCAGUGGUGAAAGUCUGCAGCUUAACUGUAGAAUUGCCAUUGAUACUGUUGACCUUGAGUAAUUAUGAAGUGGUUAGAAUAUGUAGUGUAGCGGUGAAAUGCAUAGAUAUUACAUAGAAUACCGAUUGCGAAGGCAGAUCACUAAUAAUUUACUGACGCUGAGGGACGAAAGCGUAGGUAGCGAACAGG